rnacentral:rRNA from 1 species
UACAGAGGUCUCGAGCGUUAGGCGGAAUCACUGGGCUUAAAGCGUGUGUAGGCGGAUCGGUAAGUACCUUGUGAAAUCCCACAGCUUAACUGUGGAACUGCUUGGUAUACUGCCAGUCAUGAGCCACUUAGGGGCUACCGGAACAAAUGGUGGAGCGGUGAAAUGCGUAGAUAUCAUUUGGAACGCCAAUGGUGAAAACAGGUAGCUGGGAGUGUGCUGACGCUGAGACACGAAAGCCAGGGGAGCAAACGGG